UUUGUCUUUCUCUUUCUGAUUGACUUAAUAUGAGAGUCUCUAGUUCCAUCCAUGUUGCUGCAGAUGGCAUUAUUUGUUUCUUUUUGAUGGCUGAGUAGUACUCCGUUGUGUAUAUACACACACCACAUCUUCUUAAUCCAAUCAUCUGUUGAUGGACAUUUAGGUGGUUUCCAGGUCUUGGCAACUGUAAACAGUGCUGCAAUGAACAUGCAUGUGCAUGUGUCUUUUUCAAGGAAAGUUGUCUGGAUAUAUGCCCAAGAGGGGGACUGCUGGGUCAUAGGUCAGUUCUACGUAUAGUUUUCUAAGGUACCUCCAUAUUGUUUUCCAUAGUGGUUGUACCAAUUUACAUUCCCACCAACAGUGUAGGAGGGUUCCCUUUUCUCCACACCCUCUCUAGCAUUUGUUAUUUGUGGACUUAUUAGUGAUGGCCAUUCUGACUGGUGUGAGGUGGUACCUCAUAGCAGUUUUGAUUUGCAUUUCUCUAAUAAUCAGUGAUGUUACGCAUUUUUUCAUAUGCUUGUUGACUACGCUUUUUUUUUUGUUUUUUGUUUGUUUGUUUGUUUGUUUUUGUCUUUUUGCCUUUUCUAGGGCUGCUCCCCCAACACAUGGAAGUUCACAGGCUAGGGGUCUAAUUGGAGCUGUAGCUGCGGACCUACACCAGAGCCACAGCAACACGGGAUCCGAGCCGCAUCUGUGACCUACACCACAGCUCACAGCAGUGCCGGAUCCUUAACCCAUUGAGCAAGGCCAGGGAUUGAACCCGCAACCUCAUGGUUCCUAGUCGGAUUUGAGCCACGACAGGAACUCCCAAGUUUGUUUUUUUUUUUUAAUUAGAACUUUCACACAAACAAAAAGAUAUUCAUCCUUUUAUCUACUGACAAGUGUAUUAAUAUGUCUUCAAAAUCUGUGGAGGCUUAACAGUAAGAAAAAUCUAAACAAGGCUAAUUCUGAUCUAAAUGCUGUUAAAAAAAAUCCUUUUUUUUUUUUUUUUUUUUUUUCUUUUUAGGGCUGCUCUUGCAGCAUAUGGACAUUCCCAGGCUAGGGGUUGAAUCAGAGCUGCAGCUACCAGCCACAGCCACAGCCACAGCCACAGCAACUCAGGAUCCGAGAUGUACACCAGAGUUCAGAGCAAUGCCAGAUCCCCAACCCACUGAGCAAGGCCAGAGAUGGAAGCCAAGUCCUCUGGGAUACUAGUUGGGUUCGUUACCACUGAGCCAUGAUGGGAGCUCCCCC
rnacentral:lncRNA from 1 species